AUGAAAGAGGUCCAGGCACUUCUUGGUUCAAGACAGGCACUUUUUUGGAACCACAACAGCAACGUUUCGACCCAAAGGUCUUUGUCAAGCUAUAAAGUGCCUGUCUUGAACCAAGGAGUGCCUGGACCUCUUUCAUU